rnacentral:lncRNA from 1 species
AUGAUUUGGAAGCUAGGUGAUCUGUGUUUUUGUUUUUUUUUUUUUGUAGCACAGAGGAACUCUAGCAACAUCAGCAUUUGGUUAAAUUUGAAAAUCAUAUUUAGAGAGGCCACAGAGAAAUGCAAGCUACAUCACAGUGGGAUAUGUGAGAGGCUGUUACCAGAUGACAGAAAGCAAAAGUUACGUUUCCAUAGGAGAAAGGCUGCAGUGGAAACCUAAAAUGGAACUGAAGCAGAAUCAAGGUGGUAUGAGCUGCCAAAAACAGGACUUUUCUUUAUUGGUAAGAAGUUGAUGAUGGGGAAGGCUAUGUGGUAACAUUUGGAAAAGUGUUCUAGGGAUCAAUAAGGUUGCCCUUCUCACCGAUUCUAGACACUGUAUUUAGGAUUGCAUUUCUUGC